UCCUCCCCAGAAAGGUUUCAUAGGGGUGAACCGACACCGAAUAGCGUUGGGUUGCCCACCUGAACCAAAAUCCAUAACUAAUAUCAGGGAUUCUAUUGUGCUGUUGUAGUUUAUCGGCUGGCUGAAAGCUAUGUCAACAUGAGAGCUAAGGGAAUCACAUACUGAUGUACUUUGGUUUGUUAUAUUCCAGAUAAUGUCACUAUCAUGAUGGAAGAGACUAGUACCGGUAUGUGGAGUGUGAGAGGAUGAUGGAUGAUUUAGGCAGCCCCACCUCGCCCAACUCAGAAUGAUUGGACUCUGGGGCUGGACAAGGUGAUGUUAGCCGCGGCGUGGCUCACGUUGUUGCGGACCGAGCAGGUGAGCAGUCCCGACCGGCCCGGCUCCAGAGUGACGUCACUAGCGCUACUGGGUCCGGAGAGGAGACGCGUGUCGUUCAGCGGGAGUCCGUCUAGACUCCAGCUGUAGUGGAGUCCGUCCCCCCCGGCAGAGCAGGACACCCUCUGCUGUCCCCGGGACAGACACUCCCGGGACAGGAGGGGAGAGGAGACCGGGGCUAAGGGAAACCGACUGAGGAG